GUCUUAUCAAGAGUGGACGAGAGAUCGGGCUCGAUGACUCCACAGCAACCUGCAAUUUCGCAAGGUGCUCCAACCCGCAAAGCGGUUUCGCUUUGGAUGAUAAGAA
rnacentral:ncRNA from 2 species